CAAUAGCGUAUAUUUAAGUUGCUGCAGUUAAAAAGCUCGUAGUUGGAUUUCGGGUGGGAAUGGCCGGUCCGCCGUUUCGGUGUGCACUUGCUACGCCCACCUUGCUGCCGGGGACGUGCUCUUGAGUUCACGCUCGGGACACUGAGUCGGCGAGGUUACUUUGAGUAAAUUAGAGUGUUCAAAGCAGGCCUACGCUCUGAAUACAUUAGCAUGGAAUAACACGAUAGGACUCUGGCCUAUCUUGUUGGUCUGUAGGACCGGAGUAAUGAUUAAGAGGGACAGUCGGGGGCAUUCGUAUUUCAUUGUCAGAGGUGAAAUUCUUGGAUUUAUGAAAGACGAACUACUGCGAAAGCAUUUGCCAAGGAUGUUUUCAUUAA
rnacentral:rRNA from 1 species